UGAGUAACGCGUGAGAACCUGCCUCGAGGAGGGGGAUAACAGCGGGAAACGGCUGCUAAUACCCCAUAUGCCGAAAGGUGAAAAGAAAUUUGCCUUGAGAGGGGCUCGCGUCCGAUUAGCUAGUUGGUGAGGUAAGAGCUUACCAAGGCGACGAUCGGUAGCUGGUCUGAGAGGAUGAGCAGCCACACUGGGACUGAGACACGGCCCAGACUCCUACGGGAGGCAGCAGUGGGGAAUUUUCCGCAAUGGGCGAAAGCCUGACGGAGCAACGCCGCGUGGGGGAAGAAGGCCUUUGGGUUGUAAACUCCUUUUCUCAGGGAAGAAGUUCUGACGGUACCUGAGGAAUCAGCCUCGGCUAACUCCGUGCCAGCAGCCGCGGUAAUACGGAGGAGGCAAGCGUUAUCCGGAAUUAUUGGGCGUAAAGCGUUCGUAGGCGGCAUUUCAAGUCUGCUGUCAAAGGCCGAGGCUCAACUUCGGAAAGGCAGUGGAAACUGAAAAGCUAGAGGUCGGUAGGGGCAGAGGGAAUUCCCAGUGUAGCGGUGAAAUGCGUAGAUAUUGGGAAGAACACCGGUGGCGAAAGCGCUCUGCUGGGCCGAACCUGACGCUGAGGGACGAAAGCUAGGGGAGCGAAUGGGAUUAGAUACCCCAGUAGUCCUAGCCGUAAACGAUGGAGACUAGGUGUUGCCUGUAUCGACCCGGGCAGUGCCGAAGCCAACGCGUUAAGUCUCCCGCCUGGGGAGUACGCACGCAAGUGUGAAACUCAAAGGAAUUGACGGGGGCCCGCACAAGCGGUGGAGUAUGUGGUUUAAUUCGAUGCAACGCGAAGAACCUUACCAGGGCUUGACAUCCCGCGAAUCUCGGCAAAAGUUGAGAGUGCCUACGGGAACGCGGAGACAGGUGGUGCAUGGCUGUCGUCAACUCGUGUCCGGAGAUGUUGGGUUAAAUCCCGCAACGAGCGCA
rnacentral:rRNA from 1 species